rnacentral:sRNA from 1 species
AUGGAUGUUGAAGGGUUGGUGCGACCGCAGAGAAAGAGCCGUUCGGUCGUCGUUGUUGUAUCAAAACUUUAUCAAACAAUGUCUCAGGAAAAGUCGUAGUGCAUGGGACUAGAACAUAUCAAAGCAGUGUCUCCCCGCCCAAAAGGGAAGGGAGGGAGCGGGAUGAAAAAAAAAAAACAAAUUGACAGAAGACUACUACAAAUUUAUUGACUUCACAAAUAAUCCCCUUGAGCUCUUCUGCUUGCCUUUCCAUGCAAAACCCAUUCACGC